rnacentral:tRNA from 1 species
GGAGAGAUGGCUCAGUGGUUAAGAGCACUGGUUGCUUUUCCAGAGGACCCAGGUUCAAUUCCUAGCACCACCA